AAGAAAUGUAAGGACAAGUGCUACAACUAUGGGAUGAAAUGCAAGUGGAACGAAUAGAAGGAAAGGAACAAACGAAACCACGGAAAAUAACAUCUAAUGAUGAGUUCAGUCUAGGUCAACAUAA